GAAUGUGAUCAUACCAGCACUUAUGCACCGGAUCCCAUUAGAACUCGUAGUUAACCGUGAUUGAGCAAGAGUAGUACUAGGAUGGUGGGUGACACCUUGGGAAGUCCUCCUGUUGCAUCUC
rnacentral:rRNA from 1 species